CCAUGCCGCGUGCGGGAAGAAGGCCUUCGGGUUGUAAACCGCUUUUGUCGGGGAAGAAAAGGUUCUGGCUAAAACCUGGGACUCAUGACGGUACCUGAAGAAUAAGCACCGGCUAACUACGUGCCAGCAGCCGCGGUAAUACGUAGGGUGCAAGCGUUAAUCGGAAUUACUGGGCGUAAAGCGUGCGCAGGCGGUUAUGCAAGACAGAGGUGAAAUCCCCGGGCUCAACCUGGGAACUGCCUUUGUGACUGCAUGGCUAGAGUACGGUAGAGGGGGAUGGAAUUCCGCGUGUAGCAGUGAAAUGCAUAGAUAUGCGGAGGAACACCGAUGGCGAAGGCAAUCCCCUGGACCUGUACUGACGCUCAUGCACGAAAGCGUGGGGAGCAAACAGGAUUAGAUACCCUGGUAGUCCACGCCCUAAACGAUGUCAACUGGUUGUUGGGAGGGUUUCUUCUCAGUAACGUAGCUAACGCGUGAAGUUGACCGCCUGGGGAGUACGGCCGCAAGGUUG
rnacentral:rRNA from 1 species